rnacentral:misc_RNA from 1 species
AGCAGCCGCGGUAAUUCCAGCUCCAAUAGCGUAUAUUAAAGUUGUUGCAGUUAAAAGCUCGUAGUUGAAUUUCGGGAUCAAUUAGUCGGUCGUGCCUCUGGUACGUACUGGUUUUAUUGGUUCCUCCCUUCUGACGAAACAUGAUGUCAUUAAUUUGGUGUCGUGGAGAAUCAGGACUGUUACCUUGAAAAAAUUAGAGUGUUUAUAGCAGGCUAACGCUUGAAUACAUUAGCAUGGAAUAAUGAAAUAGGACGUUCGACCCUAUUUUGUUGGUUUCUAGGAUCGACGUAAUGAUUAAUAGGGAUAGUUGGGGGCAUUAGUAUUCAAUUGUCAGAGGUGAAAUUCUUGGAUUUAUUGAAGACUAACUACUGCGAAAGCAUUUGCCAAGGAUGUUUUCAUUAAUCAAGAACGAAAGCUAGGGAUCGAAGACGAUCAGAUACCGUCGUAGUCUUAACCAUAAACUAUGCCGACUAGGGAUCGGAUGAUGUUAAUUUUUUAAUGACUCAUUCGGCGCCUUAAC